rnacentral:lncRNA from 1 species
UGCAGAGGAUGUGUGGUGCAGGGUGGAGAGGCGUUGGUGGGGUCCAUAGAUGAUGCCAGGUUCCAGUUCUAUUCUGAGCAUGAAGAAGGCGGAAGAGAGUGUGGAUUUAGACAACUCCGGGGGACCUGGCUUUUGUGUGGGAGGGAAAGGGGCCCCUAGCGGCCUGAGAUACCUCUGGUAGAAGGUAAAUUGGUAUAGAGAUUUUGGUUGCAUCUAAAAUUUGAAAAUGUUCAUACUCUACCAUCCAACCAUUCUAUUUCUCAUGUAUAACAUAGAGAAGCCACCACACAUUUGCACAAGGAAACAUAAAGAUGUUCAUUGUGGGACUGUUUAUAAUAAGAGCUUGAAGUAAUAACAAAAUUUAACAAAUAAAAUACACUGUACAGAUGUAAGAAAUAAUGAACUAAGUCAGGCAUGGCAAUGCACACCUGCAAUCCCAGCACUCUGGGAGGCUGAGGCAGGAGGGACACAAAUUCAAGUCCAGCCUGGGUAACUUAGGAAUUUAGCAAGACCCUGUCUUAAAAUAAAAAUUACCCAAAAAUGAAGGUGGGGCUGGGAAUGUAGGUCAAAUGAAGGCUUUGAGUUCAAACCCCAGUACUGAAAAAAAAAAAAGUAUUAGACCUAUCUGUAUGAAUAUGGAUAUUUGAAAAAUAUUGUUCAGUGAGAAAGCAACAAGUUGAUCCUUUUCUUCUUGUUUUUGGUACCGGGGAUUGAACUCGGGACCUUGUGCUUGCCAGGCAGGCACCGAACCACUGAGCCACAUCCCCAGCCCUAAAUUUUUCCUACUCUUAACAUCUGCUGUUCCUGGAAUUCAUGCUUUGAUUUUAGAGCACACGAACUCACGCUUCAGAUACCUAGCAGAUUUGGGAGUUAUAGCUCUUCCCAUAUAUCAGUUUUAUCUGACCUUGAACCUGCUCACCUCAUGGCUUUGCUCCAUAAAACUCCCUUGAGAUGCAGGGUCUGCAGGCAACCCACCUUCCGGUCCCCCUUCUGUCUCUCUUAGGCAGAAACUAUCUUUCUCUCAAUAAAUCCUUCCCACUCUUAAUCUCCAUUGUUCCUAGAAUUCAUGCUUUGAUUUUAGAGAACAUGAACUCAGGGUUUCAGACAUCUCGCCGGUUGGGAGUUAUAUUUCCCUUGUAGUAUUUGGAGGCCCAUAGAUCACACACCCUAUAUCACUACUGCACUUCUGCUUCCACAGUAUUCCUGCCUUUUCUUUCCCUGCUUGGGACCCAGCCCCACUUGAGGACUCAACUAGGGCCCCUGCCCGCCCCCCACUUCCUCCUGCAUGCUGUCUGAUCCCAGGGGAGAGCAGUGUCAGGAGCCUGUCCUGCCCCAGCUCACCGUAGAUGCCCUCUAAGACCAACAGGGACUCCACUCACUCCAGCCUGUCUUCCUCUUCUGUCCCCAGCCUCCCCUCUGCCAAUUCCUAUAGUGCUUCCCCAUGGGCCCCCAGGGUGGACUGUUUGCAUUCAAGCCCACCUAUACCUCCGUGGGCCCUAGAGCAAGACACUCAAACACUUACUUCCUGCAAAAUGGAGCUCACCUUAUAGUAAGAAAAUCAUAAAUGAAUUAGUGAUUAAUUGAUCAUAGAUAAACAACAAGUGCACCUGCUCAUAGGGUGACGCUAAGGAUUAACUUAGCUAAUCCUAGGAAGUGCUACAAGCAAUAGCCAGCAAGCAAGGAAACUGGGCCAAGACAUUACUGUUCUCACUGCACACAUCUGUGUCCUCUGAGAGUCCCCCUCGCUCCUCCGAACUGCUUCCGGCAUCCCCUGGGCAUGCCCCUGGUCUCUGGGACUGCAGCGGUUCCCUUGUACCAGCGACUUCUGUGUCACAAGCCCCCUGCCCAUAGCAGCUCACAUUCCAGUAAACACAGCAGUUGCUGGAGUUCAACCAAACCACCGUUCCCGACCCCCACUUCAUGGUAGGAUCACCUCAGGAACUUUUAGUAGGCUGCCCGGGCCAGGGCCAGACCAAUGCCAGAGGACCUCAGGAUGAGGCUCCAGAACAGCUUACAACCUCCCCUAGGUGACACUAAUGCUCAGCCAGGAUUAAGAAGCACUGACCAGGGGCUGGGGAUUUAGCUCAGUGGUUUCGGUGCCUGCCUCGAAAGCCGAGGACUUGAGUUCAAUCCCUGGUACCAAAAAAAAAGAAGCACUGACCAAAACCCAGGCUUAAAUCUCAACUCACCAGCUCUGUGAUCCGGCAGAAGUUCUUAAGAUGGUUAGCCUGUUUCCACAUCUUGAGGAUGGGGGUUUAAAUGUCUGUGAGAAUCACAUUCGGAGUCAGUGUACAAGGCCCAGUGCUUCCUAAAUGCCUCGCAGACCUGGGAACUGCAUUUCUCCUCUUCCUCCUCCGCACCUCCUGUUGUGGCAUAUCAGGAGUCAAAAUGACCUUCCAGAGACAGCAGAGUAGGGUAAAAUAAAAAAGUGUAUUGCCAGGCAAUGCCCAACCUCAGGAAAUGAGUCCUUAUAGGGUGACCAUGAGGUAAGACAGUUUCUCCUUUUAAUACCCUUUACAGGGCAGCUUAACUCAUGGUUACACACCAGUGUGGCAAGGGCACGAUAAAGCAGCAUUAGGAGGCAAGGGUGGCAUAAGUUGCGAUUACAGAAUGUAGCAAGGCUGUGGUACAGCAGCAUUAGGUAUGGGGUACUUAGAUAGACACACUUCAAGGCUAAUUCUAAUCUCUCUGGGAGCAGGCUGCUGCCACCAGAGGGAGGAGGCCCACCCAGAGUUUUGAAGCAGGAACAAUUUCACACAAGUUUUACACACAAGUUUUAAACAGGGUUUUAGCACAGAGUUUAUUAACAAAUAUUUUACAAUAAUUAUCUCUUCCAAAUUAUGUUUCAUAGCUCUUUUACCUCACUCCACAAAUCAGAGACAACAGGCUGUUUCUUUCCCCACCUUCUACCCUGUCAAAUCAUCACAAAGGUUUUGAGUCCCUAAGGGCCCAGUUCCUGUUGAGCUCCCCCGUAACAGAUUCACUAUUUUCCAUCCAUUAGAUGGGCUGCUGACCCCUUCCAGUGUGGGGACAGUGACAGCUCCAUACUGUUUCCAUCCCAGGUCCCUUACUAUGCCUUUUUGGUUUGCUUUCACUCUGCCCACAAUUUUAUAAGUCAUUCCUUUAUUAAAAUCUUCCACAAACUCCUGCGAGGCACCAUCUGUAAUUCUGCCAUCAUUACUCUGCACCACAGAAAGGAAGAAAGAGCUGAAAUAUGUGGGUACAUUUUUAGAAAACUAAAAGCAAAAGCCUAAAACCUCAUUUCUAGCAUUAUUUGCAAAAUGACCCCCUGGAACCCUACAAAGCUUGGAGAGAUCUCUAGGUAUCUGCAGCUCACCUUGUGAGUGAAAAGCACAGAAAACCACAGCUUUGCCAACUUUCCCUGAGACUUUGUCUUCUAACACUUUUUUUUUCUAUUAUCUUUCUUUUUUGGGGGGCGUACCAAGGAUCGAACUCGGGUCCUUGCGCUUGCGUAGCAGGCACCAAAACCACUGAGCUAAAUCACCAGCACACUUUUUUUUUUUCUAGUUAGUGGUUUUCUUUUCUUUCAAGCCUUCUUGUUCUUUUCAUAUUGGCAGAAAUCGUGCGAUAGGAUUGCUAUAAAGAUUAAAUGAUACACUCUGUGGAGGAAAAACAAACCUGUCUCCUGAACAGUGUCAUGGAAAUGGCUCCAGCUUGGCUACCAAAGUAAACUAAAUUUGAAUCCUACUCUUGAUUCUGGAAUUUGGACGAACUGCUUAUGUCUUCUGCAAAGAGGGUAUUAAUUCUUAUCUCAUGGGGCUGUUUAUGAGGCUACAUCAGGAUGAUUAUAACAGUCAAUAUUUUUCACUCUUUCAUGUAUCAGACAACUUGAUAAGGACUUUAUGUUCACUAUUUGAUUUAAUUCUCAUAAAGUCUCUAUGGAUGAAGUGCUAUUUUCAAUUCCAACAUUAUGUGUGAUGAAACUGAGGACAAAGUGACUUGCACGAGGUUAAACAGCAACUAAAUAACAAUACAGGAGAUGAUGCAGAAUGUAAGGUACUGAGAGCUUCUAUUAGGUGCACAUUAAUGACAUUCUGUAACACAGAAUCCAGGGCUGGGGAUUUAGCUCAGUGAUGCCGUGCCUGCCUCGGAAGUGCAAGAUCCCGAGUUCAAUCUCCGGUACCAAAAAACAAUGCAGAAUUCACAAUUCCACUAAAAUUUAGUGACGCUGCUGAACUAGGUACCUCCACCACUUGGUUUUUUUUACACGAUUUGUCCAAAAGUCAAGGUUUCCUGUCUAGAAUUUAAAUGUGAAUAUAACACCCAAAAGAAACAUAUCCACAAAAAAAUACAAGUAUAUAAAGAAUGUCCAGUCAGGGAUUUAGCUCAGUGGUUCCCCUGCCUGCCUCACAAGCACAAGGUCCUGAGUUCGAUCCCCAGUACCAAAAAAAAAAAACGAGGAAGAAUGUCCAUAGAAGCCUUAAUCUUAAUAUUCUAAAACUUGAAACCAACCUAGUUGCCAUGAAAUGUAUAUCCAUACGAUGGAAUACUGCUCAGCAAUAAAAAGGGAAAAUCUGAUGCACACUACAUAUAUGGACCUUAAAAACAUUACACUGGGCCAGAAAAUCCAGAUUGGAAAGAAUUCCCACUCUAUGGUUUCAUUUAUGUGCACUACAGAAACCAGCCAAACUAAACUAUGUUGAUGGAAAUCAGAAAGGGGUUGGUUGGAACAAAUACCGGUAAAGGUUAUGCCAGAAAGGGGCAGAACAGCACUUCCUCAGGUACUAGAAAUACCAUAUAUUUAGUUCUAGUUUGAAGACACAAUUAAUAAUUGUCAAACACACACAAUGGAACCAAACACUGAAAAUGUGUGUGUUUGAUCCGGUCAUGGUGACACAUGCUUGUAAUCCUAGCACCUUGGGAGGCUGAGGCAGGGGGAUUGCAAACUGGAGCCCACCCUGCUGAGCAGCUUAGCAACUUGGCAAGACUCUGUCUCAAAAUAAAAUAUAAAGCAAAAAACAUGGGCUGAAGGUGUGGCUCAAUGCAAAGGCUCUAGAUCCAAUCCUGAAAAUUACAUUGCAGUAAAAGAAAAAAAAAGUAAACUUUCAAAACAAAACAAAAGCAGUGAUUGUGCCAGUUUUACAGCUGCAUCUGGAGUGAACUGGAUGCCUCACUAGCUGCACUUCCUAGAUGCUCCGAUCAAGCCAAUCGAGCCGGAGAACCUGAUGGGAAAACGGAGUGGUGAACAGGAAUUCUGUUGGUCUCAUAAUUGAAGGUUCCAACCCAGUUCUCUGCUCGGCCCAGCUUUGUCUGCCUUAUUGGCUGUCACUGUUCCAAGCUGCCUCCCCGCUCAGCCCACAGAAAAGAAAGCAGAGCAUCUCCCCCUCCCACCCAGCAGGAGGGCUGGGAUUCCUCUUCCUGCCCUGGAUGAAGUUGCCAGCGAUGCUUCUGUGCCACCUGGCCAAGAACCCAGCCACGAGCAAGAGGGUCUGGCUGUGGUUUCAGAACCAGGCACAGGCCCUGCACCAGGAUCACCUCCCAAAGUAUAUGGCGCCACCCAAGGGAGAGGAAUGGGCUCUGGAGAGACCCCCAGAUGGGUGGCUGCAGGGGCCAUGGCUAGAGGGCAAGGUGGGCCUGAUCAGGGAGGAACUGAGUUUAACCCGGGCAGCAGGAAGCAAGCAGGACCCCAACAAGGUUGUGGUGCUAAAGCGGAGCAUGGGUUUGGAGCCCCAGCUCUGGGCUCCCUCUGCUGCCUGCUAACUGCGUGAGCUUUGCCAACUCUCAGGGCACCAUCUCCUAUGAGGACAGCGGAAGAAUCAUGAGGAGCCUCUAAGACUCUGUUCCAUGCUGAGAAUUGGCAAAGGGCAAUAAUAUUUAAUAUUCAUUCAAUCUGGACUUACCAAGACUUUGCUAAAUGCCUGCAAUCCAAUGCAAUCACAUAAUAAUCAUAAAUAAGAAGUGAUGCUCAGAAAUGAGUACAUCCCAUAAUCAGCUGUAAGCAGCCUCACUAUCAACCUUACUGUUUUUGUUGUUGUUGUUGUUGGGGUGGCGGGCGUGCAACAGGGUCUCACUACAUAGCCCAGGCUGGCCUUGAACUCACAGUGAUACUCCUGCCUCGGCCUCCCAAGUGCUGGGAUCACAGGCAUGCACCACCAUGUCCCACUCCACCUUACUCUGAAAUCGCGUCUGUCUGUGCAACUGCACUCCACCGGACUGCAAGCCAGCGAUCCCGCUUCCUGAGUCCAGAAGGCCAGUUUGCUCCUUCUCAAGGAAAUGUGAGACAUCGCUCUGCCGAUUUUAACUCUGCUUCUUGCCUUCAGAGGGCAUUGGGUGCAUCUAUCAGGGCAGUUUGACCCCCAUUCAUAACAGAGACUACAAAAGCAAGAGAGAGCGCCAGAGCAGGCCAGCACCUCUGUGGGCCUCUCUCCUUUUCCUGGGGAUGACUUAGACUUCCCAAAGGGCCUAGGGAAUUAGAAGGGAAUCAGAUCUGUUCGUGCUAUUUUCCAGCUCUCUUCAGAAAAGAAAGUGGAAUGGCAAGCUCGGGCAGAUUUCCUUUGGGGCACUUCCCAUGUUGAGAUUAUAAUGAAAUAUAAUCUAGCUACUGCUUGGCACUGAAGGUUCCUUGGUAUUCAGUAUAUACGUAUAUGCCUUCUAAUACAAUAGAGUGAAGAAAAAUAACCAGCAAAUGAAUAGUGAUUCAUAAAGUAGGAGUUAUAAAGGAUUUUUUUGGAAAGUACAACCAAGCAUGGGGGCACACGCCUGUGAUCCCAGCACUUUCAGAGGCUGAGGGAGGAAGAUGGCCAUAAGUUCAAGACCAGUCUGAACUAUAUAUCAAGACCCUUUCUCCUCCCACACACACACACGCACACACACACACACACACAAAAAGAUGGCUCUAAGGCAAGAAAAGGCAGCUCUAUCUCAAAUGGGGACAUCCCAAUAAAAGUCACAAUAAAGCAUCUUCUUUCACCAAGCAAAUUUAAAAAGAUGAAGCUGGGUGUGAUAGCACAUACCUCUAAUCCCAGCAUUCAGGAGGCUGAGGCAGAAGGAUUACAAAUUCGAGGCCAGACUGCACUGCAUAGUGACAGCCUCUCUCCCCCCCUAAAAAAGUAUAAAUAUAAAGCUAAAACCCAUAGUUUGUGGGAGCGUAAACUAGUAUACCCAAUGCGGAAAUAAGAAUAGAGAGUCCUCAAAAAACAAAAACUAGAAAUUUCAUUUGAUGACCCAGCUAUUCCCCUUCUAGGUAUCUUCCUGAAAGAGUUAAAGACACCAUAUUGCACUGAUCCAUACAUAUCCAUGUUCAUAGCAGCACAACUCAUAAUAGGUAAAUCUUGGAAGCAGCCUACAUGGCCAUCAACAGAUGAGUGGAUAAAGAGAAGGUAAUACAUACUUAUACACAAUGGAGUACCACUCUGCCAUAAAGAAGGAUAAACUUGAUUCAUUUGUAGGAAAAUGGAUGCACUUUGAGAUCCCAAUGUUAAGUGAAAUCAGACCCACAAGCUUAAAUAAUGCACGGUUUCUCUUAUAUAAGAAAUCUAAAGUAUGAAUAAUUUGAAGAGCUAAGUAAAAGAUAAUAGGAAACAGGAAGAUAGAUAUUUUGCAAACAGGAAGAGGACCAGGAGAUGGAGGGAAGGGUUAGGGAGAGGAGAGGAAGGAGAAGUAAAAACUGAAUUUGCUGUGGACGUGCUCCAACUUCCCACGGUGAAUAUUCUGCACAUAUGUACUAAUAAAAAUUUAAAAGACAACAAAAUAUUACAUCUCCUGCUGAGUGCCAUCCAAUGGAAAGGCAGGCUCGUAAAAACAUGAAGCUGUGUCCUCAACCACCUUACUCACCAGAUCUGCCACUGUGCCAUUUCCGGCUCCUCCCCAAGUCAAAACGACCAUGAAAGGUAAAUGUUUUAAAUCAACUCAAAACAUUGAGGCAGCCGCAACAGCACAACUAAAGACACUCCUAAAGGACUUCUUCUCUUCAGAUAGUGGUAAAAAGGAUGGGAUUAAUGUGUUCAAAGCUGGGGGGAGGAUUUUGAGGAGGAUCAAGCUAAUAAUUUGUAGAAAUUUAGACACUGCCAUUUAUCUUGAUCAUACUUCACGGGCAUACUUAAAUAUCUCUGUCGUCCACAGAUCUGUUGUCUGUAACCCUGCAUAAACAUGCUCAUUUAUGUUACACUGUAUUUACUUUUCUCAAUAUGCCUUCUGUGCGCUACUUGGAGCCACUUAUCUUGAGGCCUUUAUUUCUAUAAGAGCAAAUAUUAUUUCUCUUUAGUCUGAUAGUUUAUGAUGUUUCUUCUCUUUCUGCCAUCCUAUGCUUUUGCUGAAUUUCCUCCAUUUUGCCUUUGAGCUCGUGUUUUAUAGACACAACUGAAUCAAGUGGUAACUCUUUCUUUCUCAGUUUUUUGUGUUUAAGUAUGUUUUAGUUUGUUGUUUUGUUUCGUUCCUUUUUGCAGUACUGGAGUAGGACAUAAGGCCUUUGCACUGAGCUACAUCCCCAGUCCUUUUUAAUUUUAAUUUUAAUUUUUAUUUGGAGACAGGGUCUCACUUUGUCCAGGCUGGCCUUGAAAUCACUAUGGAGCCCAGACUGGCCUCAAACAUGAAUCCUCCUGCCUCAGCUGUCCUAGUGCUGGGAUUACAGGUAGCCGCCACCAGGCCCCACUCUUGUUCAGUGUUUUAGUGGGACUCUGUUUGACCACAGCUGUCAGUUGCCCAAGGCAAUAUUUUCCUGAGGAGAACUUUUCACCCAUUUCUGUCUUCCUCCCUGUCUCAUUUUUCCUUCUGAUGUCAUUCUAGUGUGAUCACCAUGGCCACUUGCUGCAUUGGCUCCAAGUAGCAAGUUAUAAAUUACUAAUUCUGUUAAUCAUUGCUGAUUGAUUUCCUCUUAUACUGCAUAACUGCACAAAUAUUGUGGGAGAAGUCCAGAAUAUUAGGCUCCCAAUUACGGUCUUGUGACUCAGGGCUCCACUGGGGUUCAGUACAGGGUUUGCUUAUUUCAGUGUCUGCUUCUCUCCCACCCCCAAGCAGACAGGGGACUCGAUCCCGCAUGGAACACAGGGUUCUCUCUCAGUCCGUUUCACUGGCAGACUGCUCCUAGCAAACACGGCAGGUCUGUGCGUCCCCUUUGUUCCCGACUAAGUGCUACUGGCUUUGCUCCACUGACUCCCUGCCAUGGCUCAGCAAUACAGAUGUCCGGAGUCUAUUCAAAUACAGCUUCUGGGAGGGGGAGCAGAUGCUGGUGACUGAAGCCAGGGAGCACUGAGCUGAACCGGCAGCCCUUUUUCAUGUUAUUUUGAAACAGGAUCUCUAAAUUGCCUGCUUAAAAAUGUGAUCCUCCUGCCUCAGCCUCCUGAGUAGCUGGGAUUAUAGGCAUGUGCCACCUGGCCCAGCUAUUUACUUUUGCUUGGAGGCAUUUUUAGAGACGAGACCAGAGAACAACUUCUCUUGUGACAUUUUAAACACAGAUAUCUCGUUGUCUCUGUAAAUUAGCGAUGUGAUUGAUUUUUUAAAUUUGGGCAUAAAAAUAAAGUGUAAAAUCUUACAUACUUUCAAGCUAUUUCAUAAUCAGUCCCCAGUUUAUUUUAUCUUCAUCCUCUGCAAUUUCCUCCCACCACUUCUGCUCUGGCUACAAGAUGACUUUAUACAAAAUCAUCUGCAGCCAAUGUGUUCUCUUCUCCUGAAAUUCAUAACAUAUAAAAAUUAUUCAAGGAUGCUACUCAUAUGUGGUACAUUUUAUUGAAGUAAAUACAGGCUUCGGGUACAAGAGAAAUCAGAGCUGUCUCAAGAAAAAAAUAUUUGACAAAAUAAAAGUGAAUUCUCUCCUAACACACUGUGAUAUGUAAAUUGGAGCAUACUGGGUUUUGAAAAAAAAACUGUUUUAUACUUUCAUAAAUUCUUUUUGAGAUUCUCUUUUUAAAAACUGUUUGCAUUGGAGUGUAUCAUAUAUACAGAUGAGUGCAUAAAUCUUAGUCUAAAGAUCAACGGAUUGCAGGGCACAGUGGAGCACACCUGUAAUCUCAGCACUCGGGAGGCUGAGGCAGGAGGAUCAGCACAAGUAGCUUGGGCUACACAGUGGGUUCAAGGCCAGCCUGAGGUACAGAGCAAGACCCUGUCUCAAAAAACCAAAAUAAAUAAAUAAAUAAUGAAUGCUCAAUGGGUUACCACCAAACGAACAGGUGUAAUCCAACCCAUAUGGGGAGGGAGGAAUAAGAAAAAGGAGGUUGGAUGUAUCAUGUACAGGUGCAAAUUCCUCAUGAUGUGUGUUAUCACUGUGUAUGGAUAAAAUGUACCAAAAAAUGUUUUGCUAUUAAAAAAAUAAUAGAUCGUUACCAGACCCUCAGAAGCCACCAUGGACCACUUCUAAUCAUUACUCACCCCUUCCUUGUCCCAAAAUAAAAUAUAAGAAAGGCUGGGGGUGUCUGAAGGCCCUGGGUUCAAUCCCCAGUACUGCCCAAAAGAAGAAGAGGAGGAAGAGAAAUGUAACAGAAAAGAAAAUGUUCCAUUUUACAGCUGAGCAGCUUUCUUGGUCUGUUUCCUACUCAACAGAGAGCCUUGAGCUAUUUCUCCUUUCAGUCUAAGCUGGCAAUGCUUUUCCUAGUAAAAUUUCCUUGAAAUCUGUGUGGAUUUCCUGUGCUUGCUAUAGGUCUAUUCGGUGUGGCAAAAGUCACAUUUAUAACUGGUUUGGAGACAAGCCUCUUCCUACUUUGGGUCAUAAGUCAGGCGAAGUGGAACAAUGUCCUUUGUCUACUGAGAGAAUCCAAAAGGCACUGAUGUUCCAGCUCUCCCCUUAAUUAGGGGUUAUGCCCAGUCUUCGCUUCAUUUUGUGACUCUCUUACUGGCUACAGAGAUCAGGAAUGAUAGACAAAUGUAAUUUCUAAGCUGGAAAAGCUUCGAUCCUUUACAUUUUCUCUAAAUUCUUACAAAUUAAAACAUUGCUCCCCCCCCAUCUCUCUUUUCUCAUUCCCCAUCAUCUGCAUUUAGGAUCAACAAACUGACAUUUCCAACAUUUCUUUAGCCAAAUGAAAAGUUUACUAGCAACAUUUGCUGUCUUCCAAGUUACUACAGACAAAAGUCUUGCAUAUUGUUACACCACUACAUGAUACUGAUUGCCAUUUGCCCAGACGGCUGUAGCAGUUUCUUCAUUGCUAUGCCAGUCAACACUAACAAUUGCUUUCCCAUUAUGAAGUUUUCGCAUCCCUGUUUGUCUUCUUUCUCAGGCCACUUCUCAGGAUUACUUAUUUCUGCUGGUAACCUUGAGAGAUGUGCAAGGUGUGUGAUGGUUAACUGUGGUGUCAACUUGAACUUAGCGGAACGCUUUAGUGCAGUUCUGAGUGUCUGGAUGACUGACUUACUGAAGAAGGAAGUCCCGCCCAAAUGUGGGUGGCAGCAACCAAUAGGCUUGUAGCGUGGAUGGAAGAAAAAGGGAGAGAAGAAGGAAGUCUUGCUCUGCUUCUGUGGAGGAGCUCCAGUCUUUGCCAUGGCCUUUGGACAUCCAUCUCCAGACUUCCAGAACAGACCCUUCAGCUUCCUGUAUGGAUUCUCAUGGGACUCUACAGUGAGCCCCAGGCCUUUGACUUCUGACUAGGUCCUCAGCUCACCAGCACACAGACAGCCUUUUGCGUUCUUCUACACCUGACUCUGAGGUGGCUAUUAUAAUAUAUACAUUAUAUUAAAUAUCUUCCUCUGGUGACCCCCGAGUGGCACAGUCUCUGCAGGGAUGAGGUGCAGGCUUGCUCACUGCUUGCUGUGAAAGUGGUGGAGUCCCAUGUUCAGUGCUUCUGGCUGUAUGGGCAGCACACACCCCGGCCACCCUGCCCCCAGGUCCCCUAGGACUCAGUGGCAAAGAGAUCUGAGGCAAAUAUUCAGAGGCUCCUGCUCUGGCACAAGUCCCCAAAUCCUUUAUCUCUGACAUGGAAUCUUCAUUUAUUGCCAACAUCCAUGAAACAGCAACAGCCUCACUUUUUAGUUUGUAAGUCAGGAAAAACCAAAUCCCAAAUUGAAUGGUCUCCGCACUCGAAAGCAUUCUCAGAUUAAUUUUCUUUUUUUUCUUUUUCUUCUUUUUUUUUGGUGGUGGUGGUGGGGGUCGAACUCAGGACCUUGUGCUUGUGAGGCAGGCGCAGCACCACUGAGCUAAAUCUCCACCCUGGUUUAACUUUCAAAAAAUUUUGUUGCUACCAAAAUCUGGAUAUGAGCUGAAAAUUACAUUGUUUCCCUAAGAUAUAAUUGUGGGCAAAAUUGUUUUGACAGCAUUUUUUUUUUAACUUUGAAACUAAGUCAAAAAGCAUGAAGUCUAUGAACAUCUUUGUGCUCAUAUUACUAAGAAUCUGCAGAGCUGGAGCAAAUGAAAUGAAGCACUGUUGAAAACUAUGUCACCUUUUCAAUUACUAUUCUGUGAAAUAUGAAACAACCACCAAGCUAUGUAAAAAGGAUCUACUCACGAUUUAAAACCCAACUCCAUAGUAACCGCUGCCUAGGUCAGAAGACGGAAGGCUACAUUCCCAGCAAGGCUCAGCAUCGCCGGGUGCAAAGAAAGCACAGAAUCCUUUACAGGGACCACGCUGACCCCAUGCACAGCACCGCAACUCAUAACAGCUAAUCCUGGAAGAGGACCCCGUGUCCAUCGACACAUGAAUGGAUAAAGAAAAUGUGCAAAAAUAAAUAAAUAAAUAAAUAAGAAAAUGUGCUAUUCAUGCAGACAGAGGCUGCACACUCUGCCAUGAAGAAAGAUAAAUCUAAAUCGUUUGUAGGAAAAUGGAGGCACCUUGAGACCAUAAUGUGAAGUGAAAUAAAUCAGACACAGAAACUUGACAUGGUUAACAUGGUUUCUCUUAUGCAAGAAACCCACAUUGUAAAUAAAGAGCAAGAUAAAGAUAGAUAAUAGGAAACAGGGAGAUAAGCCUUUCGCAAAAGGGAAGGAAACCAACAGAUGGGGGAGAGGAGAAAGGGAGGGAAAAAGAAUUAAGAUGUGUUACAUAGGGCCAGGGAUUUAGCUCAGUGGUUCCGCCGCCUGCCUCGCAAGUGCAAGGUCCCGAGUUCGAUCCCUGGUACCAAAAAAAAAGAUGUGUUACAUACUUGCACCAGAUACCCAUGAUGAAUGUAGUCAUUAUGUGCUGCAAACAUGAACUAAUAAAUUUUUUUUUGAGACAGGAUCUCACUAGGCAGUUCAGGCUGUCCUUAACUUGACACAUAUCCCAGGCUGGCCUUGAACUCACAGUGAUCCUCUUGCCUCAGUCUCCCAAGUGCUGGGAUUGAUUACAGGUGUGCACCACCAUGCCCGGCUAUAAAAAAUUUUCAAAACCAGGAUAAUCUAUCACCACACACAUAUCAGGACGAUUAAUUUUUUUUCACAGAGAGCAGUACAAAAUGUUGAUGAGGGUACACAGAAACUAGAUUUUCUUACGCAUUAUUGCUGGAAGUGUAAAAAUCAUGCAGCCACUCUGGAAAACAAUCUGGAAGUUUCUUCUAAAAUCAAGCAUCCACUUUCCAUAAAAUCCCAUAAUUGUACUCCUAGGAACUAUUUCAGUGAAGUCAAAAUCUACACAAACCCCUUCAUAAUCAUGUUCAUCAUAGCUCUCUGUAAUAGCCAAAAAUUGGAAACAACCAAAAUGCUGAUCAACCAGUGAACAACUGAACAAACUACAGAACAUCUCUACGGAGAAGUGCUACUCAACAACAAAAAAAGGAACAAAGUACUGGCACACACAACAAUGUGGGUAGAGCUCAAGGACUUUCUCCUGAUUGGAAAAAGGCCAAUCUUAGAAGGUUGCAUAUCAUACAAUUCCAUUUAGAGAAUAUUUUCAAAAUGACAAAAUGACAUGCAAGGAAAAGAGACUAGUGGUUACCAGGGGCUAGGGGCAGUGGUGGAGUGGGGGUGGCCAUAAAGGGUCAGCAUGAGGAGCAAGGGUGACAGGGUCAUUCUGUGCUGUGUUGUGGUGGCGAAUACUCACAACCACACGUAUGACCAAAUGACACAGAACUAGACACAAGCACUGGACCAAUGUCACUCUGUGUUACCAUUAUGCAUGAUGUAAUUGUUGUGGGAAAGCUGGUGUAGGGCAUUCAGGGCAUUCCACAAUUAUUUCUAAAUAGAUUUUUUAUUCAAAAGUAUCCCCCACCUAAGUCAGAAGGUAGGACAGGGUUGUCACCCACCAGACUCCUCCUCACUUAUUACCUUCCCCUUCCACACUGACGUUCCCUUCCUCCAUUUCCAUUACCUCAGGUUGAAAAAAAAGUAACAGGAACAUAAAGGACAACAAACAGUGUUUAGAUGUUGAGCUCCUAAACAGAUUCCAGAUAGACUGUAUCAGUUACCCUUACAUUCAUAGCAGCAUUAUUCACAACAACCCACAUGUGGAAGCAACCCCGUGUCCAUCAACACAGGAGUGGAUAAACAAAGUGUGCUCCAUGCACAGGAUGGAACACUCGGCAGCCCUCAAAAGGUAACAUAGAUAAACCUUGAAGACAUGAAGUCAGAAGCCAGUCUCAGAAGGGCAAAUAUUGUGUGAUUCCACUUGUAUAAAGAACUGGGAGGAGUCAGAUUCACAGAGACAGGAAGUAGAACCGUGGGUGCCAGCCAGAGGAGGAAGUGGAGAGGGAGUGCUGAUGGGUACAGAGUUCCAGUUUUCCAAGAUGAAAAGAUCCUGGAGGUGAAUGGGGGUGGAAAUCGCACAACACUUGGAUGUGCUUGAUCCCACUGAACUGGACUCUCAAUAAUGCUCACAGUGCAUCCCGGCUGUGGUGGCACACUCUUGGAAUCCCAGCACUCUGGAGGCUGAGGCAGGAGGAUCACAAGUUUGAGGCCAGUCUGGGCUACACAGAGUUCAAGGCCAGUGUAGACUAUACAUUGAGACUCUGUCCAAAAAUAAACAAAUUUAAGAUCAGACUGAGGGUGUGGCUAGUGGUAGAGCACUUGUAUAGCAAGUGCGAGGCCCAAGUUAAAUUUUGUUAUGUUGUUAUGUAUAUUUGUACAUUUUUAUCACAAUAAGAAAAAUAUUUUAGCCAAACAUGAUAGUGCAUGCCUAUAAUCCAAGCACUCUGGUAAACUGAGGCAGAAGGAUCCCAAGUUCAAGACAGCCUCAACAAUUUAGAGAGAUCCUGUCUCAAAAUUAGAAAAAAAAUUUUAUUUGGGGGGGUUCUAAUUUUUUUUUGAGUUCUUCAUAUAGUCUAGAUAUCCAUCCUCUGAGAAAUAGUUGGCAAAAUUUUUUCCCAUUCUGUAGAUUGUCUUUGCAUUUUGUUGGUUGUUUCCUUUGCUGGGCAGAAGCUUUUUAAUUUGAUAUGAUCUUGAGAGAGGCAACCACCCAUCCAUAUGGAAUUGAUCUCUGUGUUAAUUGGGUAACUAUGCUUUUUGUAGAAUGCACCUGAGUAACCAUGCUAAUUCUCUAAUCUGUUACCAAAGGAGCUUAAGGGACUCAGAAAGUCCUGCCAGGACUCUUUGUUCUUCCCCACUCUGCUGCUCUCCUUUGUGUAAAUCCUGCUUGCUAUAUUCCCAGAGAAACUCCAAUGGAAUUAAGCUUUGUAGAUGUGAAAAGAGGAAUAUAAAGAGCACAAACUUCUUUUUGGGCUCUUGAGACUGACAGGAGUCACUUGCUGAGCCACUGGCAUUAUUAAAAGCUGAUUUGCUCCUUCUCCGUGUGUCAGAGUGGUCUGUCUGGGAAUCUCAUGCAGUUUCCUGCUUCAAUCCCAUUGUU